rnacentral:lncRNA from 1 species
GGAACGUUUCUUACAACCCAUUCGUGACGACGGUCGUCGCCGGAGCCCCCCGAUUCCCGCCUGGCGAUCCCCCCAACCUACGCAGGACUCAGUGGAGCCUUCCUGGAAGAAAUUUCAGCCGUCUCAUUUUGCUGACCUUGACAUGAUGCCAACCUGAGGGCAAAGAAGUUGCAAUAUCCUGCGGUGCAUCCAUGUAGCAAGGCCAAUUGGACCAUCAGUGGAUUCCCUGUGUGCACAGGUCACAAGCUCUCAAAUCGUUUCCAGGUAAAAAUCACUGCUUCUGAUUUAAAUUCGUUUCUGUGUGCAUUUAUGAACAAAGGAAAAGAGCUGACUGUCAGAGCAGGUGGUCAAGAGGUUUCUUAUUGAUGAAGUGUUCCUCAAGUUGAGUAAUAUAGUUGGAGACAAUAUUACCAGUUUUGCUUGUA